GGCAGUGUAGUAUAACGGGUUAGGAGCUGGUCUUGUAACCUCGAGGUCCAGGUUCGAUUCCUGGGUAGGACACUGCCG
rnacentral:tRNA from 1 species